rnacentral:rRNA from 1 species
AUUGAACGCUGGCGGCAGGCCUAACACAUGCAAGUCGAACGAAGUCUUCGGACUUAGUGGCGGACGGGUGAGUAACACGUAGGAACGUGCCUUUAGGUUCGGAAUAACUCAGGGAAACUUGUGCUAAUACCGAAUGUGCCCCUCGGGGGAGAGAUUUAUCGCCUUUAGAACGGCCCGGUUCUGAUUAGCUAGUUGGUGAGGUAAAGGCUCACAAAGGCGACGAUCAGUAGCUGGUAUGAGAGGAUCAAGAGCCACAUUGGGACGGAGACAUGGACCAAACUCCUUCGGGAGGGAGCAGUGGGGAGUCUUGCGCACUGGGCGAAAGCCUGACGCAGCCAUGCCGCGUGAAUGAUGAAGGUCUUAGGAUUGUAAAAUUCUUUCACCGGGGACGAUAAUGACGGUACCCGGAGAAGAAGCCCCGGCUAACUUCGUGCCAGCAGCCGCCGUAAGAC